rnacentral:rRNA from 1 species
UACGAAGGGUGCAAGCGUUACUCGGAAUUACUGGGCGUAAAGGGCGCGUAGGCGGCGCAACAAGUCACUUGUGAAAUCUCCGGGCUUAACCCGGAGCGGUCAAGUGAUACUGUCGUGCUAGAGUGCGGAAGGGGCUACUGGAAUUCUCGGUGUAGCGGUGAAAUGCGUAGAUAUCGAGAGGAACACCUGCGGCGAAGGCGGGUAGCUGGGCCGACACUGACGCUGAGGCGCGAAAGCCAGGGGAGCGAACGGG